AUGUGCCUCAAUGCUUGCAAAGAGGGCUUCCUAAAUGGUUGUAGACCCUUCAUAGGUACUUGCAUAAUUAUUUUCCCAACAUAUUUGCCAUUGCUUUUGUUUAUGUUUGGUGCUAAUGUGUUAUGUUUGGUUGUAGGUGUUGAUGGUUGCUUUGUUAAGUUGACAACAGGGCAACAAAUAUUGGCUGCAACUGGAAGAGAUGGUAAUAACAACAUCUUUCCCAUUACAUUUGCUAUUGUUGACAAGGAGGACAUUGCCAGCUGGUCUUGGUUUCUAACCCAGCUCAAGUAUGCUCUUGGUGGUGAGUCAGGGAAGUAUGGCAAGUACACUAUCAUAUCUGAUAGACAAAAGGUACCUCAUACAUCAUAA
rnacentral:rRNA from 1 species